GUGCAGUCAUCCCAGACAGGCAGGCACAACAGGAGGCAGCCAUGUUCGUCGAUACAGUGGUUCUCGCCGGAGUCGGCACGGUUGUUCUGAUGGUCGCCUUUUUCGGCGGGGUCGGUUACUUCAUCUGGAAGGAUUCGCACAAGCGCAAGCCGAGCUGAUCUUUUCGGUUUACAGGGCACGCAAGGCAAUUCGGGCGACUUCGGUCGCCCUUUUUUAUG
rnacentral:sRNA from 1 species